rnacentral:rRNA from 1 species
UUAGGAAUAUUCGUCAAUGGGGGAAACCCUGAACGAGCAAUGCCGCGUGAGUGAUGAAGGCCCUUCGGGUUGUAAAACUCUGUUGUUUGGAAAGAACUGUAAGAAUAGGAAAUGAUUCUUACUUGACGGUACCAUUCAAGAAAGCCACGGCUAACUACGUGCCAGCAGCCGCGGUAAUACGUAGGUGGCGAGCGUUAUCCGGAUUUAUUGGGCGUAAAGCGUGCGCAGGCGGUUUGUUAAGUCUAAAAUCAAAGCCCGAAGCUUAACUUCGGUUCGUUUUAGAAACUGGCAGGCUUGAGUAUGGUAGAGGCAAACGGAAUUUCUAGUGUAGCGGUAAAAUGCGUAGAUAUUAGAAGGAACACCAGUGGCGAAGGCGGUUUGCUGGGCCAUUACUGACGCUCAUGCACGAAAGCGUGGGGAGCAAAUAGG